rnacentral:misc_RNA from 1 species
AAGUCGUAACAAGGUCUCCGUUGGUGAACCAGCGGAGGGAUCAUUACAGAGUUGCAAAACUCCCAACCAUUGUGAACCUACCUCACCGUUGCUUCGGCGGGUGGCCCGGGGCAACCCGCGCCGCGCCGGCCCCUCUAGAGGGGUCCGGCAAACCCGUCAGAAGGCCGAAACUCUGAACCAUUUAGGCCUCUCUGAGUAACUUAUACAAUAAGUCAAAACUUUCAACAACGGAUCUCUUGGUUCUG